rnacentral:rRNA from 1 species
CUUGAGUCUCGUAGAGGGGGGUAGAAUUCCAGGUGUAGCGGUGAAAUGCGUAGAGAUCUGGAGGAAUACCGGUGGCGAAGGCGGCCCCCUGGACGAGACUGACGCUCAGGUGCGAAAGCGUGGGGGGCAAACAGGAUUAGAUACCCUGGUAGUCCACGCCGUAAACGAUGUCGACUUGGAGGUUGUGCCCUUGAGGCGUGGCUUCCGGAGCUAACGCGUUAAGUCGACCGCCUGGGGAGUACGGCCGCAAGGUUAAAACUCAAAUGAAUUGACGGGGGCCCGCACAAGCGGUGGAGCAUGUGGUUUAAUUCGAUGCAACGCGAAGAACCUUACCUGGUCUUGACAUCCACGGAAGUUUUCAGAGAUGAGAAUGUGCCUUCGGGAACCGUGAGACAGGUGCUGCAUGGCUGUCGUCAGCUCGUGUUGUGAAAUGUUGGGUUAAGUCCCGCAACGAGCGCAACCCUUAUCCUUUGUUGCCAGCGGUCCGGCCGGGAACUCAAAGGAGACUGCCAGUGAUAAACUGGAGGAAGGUGGGGAUGACGUCAAGUCAUCAUGGCCCUUACGACCAGGGCUACACACGUGCUACAAUGGCGCAUACAAAGAGAAGCGACCUCGCGAGAGCAAGCGGACCUCAUAAAGUGCGUCGUAGUCCGGAUUGGAGUCUGCAACUCGACUCCAUGAAGUCGGAAUCGCUAGUAAUCGUGGAUCAGAAUGCCACGGUGAAUACGUUCCCGGGCCUUGUACACACCGCCCGUCACACCAUGGGAGUGGGUUGCAAAAGAAGUAGGUAGCUUAACCUUCGGGAGGGCGCUUACCACUUUGUGAUUCAUGACUGGGGUGAAGUCGUAACAAGGUAACCA